AUACCUCCCAACCCACCAGCAGGGGUUAGCCGCUCCAGGGAGAGACCUCCUAUGCGCCAACCCUAACUUCAAGGACAAGGUCCAGAGAGGAAUCAUGGGAUGUCCCAGCUUCCAUACACCGCGAGCCUAGGGAGCAAAAGCAUCUGGGGCCCCUGAAAGCCUGGCACCUGAAAAGGGAUACCCCAGUCGCCAGCUUGUCCUCCUCCCCAACCGGAGCCCGAGGGAGGCGCUGGCAGCAGGAAGCCGGGGAAGGGCCCGGAGGAGCGCAGGCCCCACAGCCGAGCGAAAACAUCAGAUCCGAGAGCGAAGGAGAGUGCAACACUGGACCCAAACUGCUCAACAGUGUCCUCACAGGGACAUGAGGGUGGGGAAGGAUUGCUGACCUGCUAAGGAGCACCCUGAUAUGGGGAUCUGGGAGCACAAGAGGCCCAGGAAGAAUGUGCCCCCUGCACCUUACUUACAUACCCUGCCUGGACUCAGAGAGACCAGAAUCCAGACAACAGUUGCUGCUGGGCACGGCCACUCGUCCUGGCUUGUGGCAGAGGGCUCAGGCACAAGGUGGGCGGUUAGAGCUCUGGCACCAGAGCCCUUC